rnacentral:lncRNA from 1 species
UAUACAAUUUCCUUGUUUAUUGCGCCCCCUAAUGGCGAAAUAUUCCGAAUUCUUUAUUGACCGCCAUUUAGGGUAGCACCGACAUGUGUCUAAAAUUCGGACUUGAUCCGAUGUCUAAUUUUGGUAUUUUUUGAAUUUUUGCGUUUCGGCGUAAAACGUAGCUAAUAAACCAAUGUUCAAAACGCUACCGUUUCGUCGUUUUUGACUGUGGGAGGUUCGGUGUGGGAGUUAUAGCCCCAAACGCGUAUUCCUUGGUAUAGCGCCACCUAGUGGCCGGCAUGUCUGGAUUUUGUCGUCUGCGUAGUCCCCACGGAUCUGGAUCUAGUCAUGCAAUUGGCGUGUCGGCACCAUUUACGGUUUGGGCUGUGGGCACACUUUUAGGGAGGUAAGUAUAACAAGAAGUGUGCAUUUCGCCGGCACAACGCGACAAGAAAUGUGCGUUUCGCCGGCACAACGCGAAGCAGGUGUUCAAAACGCUGCCCUGAACCUGUGGAUACAAAGGAUUUGACUGUGGUAGGAGUAGCGAGAAGUCAGUGUAGCGUUUUCGCGGCGAAAUUUUUUAGAACAUAUACAAUUUCCUCGUUUAUUGCGCCCCCUAAUGGCGAAAUAUUCCGAAAUUUUUAUCGAACGUCAUUAAGGUUAGCACCAACAUGUGUGUAGAAUUUGGACUGGAUCCGAUGUCUAAUUUUGGAUUUUUUUGGAUUUUUGAUUUUCCACGUCAAAUUUAGCUAAUAAACAAAUAUUCAAAACAUUACCGUUUCGUCGUCGAGGGUCGGAUCAAAAAAGUGAUCGAUGCAUUCUUUGCGUGUGCGUCUGAAGAUGCCGUGUGCAAAGUUUGGUGUCGAUUGGUCAAGAAAUGUGGGAGGAGUAGGGAAAAAACAGUUUUGCGGUUUUCGCGAUUUUGCGAAAAAUUCUAGACGCAAAUGGGCGUGGCCUAUGCCAAAAGAUGCAGCAGACUCCAGUGAAUAUGUGUGUACAAGGUUUUGAAUGUGGGAGGUUCGGUGUGGGAGUUAUAGCCCCAAACGCGUCUUUCCUUGGUAUAGCGCCACCUAGUGGCCGGCGUGUCUGGAUUUUGUUAUCUGAGUAGCGGUGCCGGACCUGGAUCUAGUCAUGCAAUUGGCGUGUCGGCACCAUUUACGGUUUGGGCUGUGGGCCCACUUUUAGCGCGGGAAGUAUAAUAACUAGAACUGCAAGCAGUUAUGCAGGGGUCCAAGAAGUGUGCAUUUCGCGGCACAACGCGACAAGAAAUGUGCGUUUCGCCGGCACAACGCGAAACAUGUGUUCAAAACGCAACCCUGAACCUGUGGAUAUAAAGGUUUUGACUGUGGGAGCUUCGGUGUGGGAGUUAUAGCCUAAAACGCGUUUUCAGAACAUUGGCCAAAUAGGUGAUAGACAAUGUCGUCGUUUUUUGGCGCCGCCCUGUGGCGAAAUGUUCCCAAGGACAAUUUCCUUUGCCAAAUAACUCCCGCCCACAUUAAUAAUUCUUGGCCAUAUUUUCUAUAUAGAC